rnacentral:lncRNA from 1 species
AUCUCUUUCUCUUUCUCUCUCUCUCUCUCCUGAAAUCUCUCUCUCGCUGACCUGAGAGUUAUCCAAAUACUCUGGUAUGGCGAGAUCCCCCUCCUCGGGUUCCCACUCAACUGCUGUAUCGUAGUAGUCGACUACUUCCCUGCAAUCCGUUGGUCAGCUCACAAUAGCAGAUGAGUCCAUUGGAGGAGUUCGACUAGUCUCCACCGCUGCUGCGAGAUUCCGCCAGGUACACCGCUGAAUUUCCAUUUGGUUUGGGCGUCCAGGUGUGAUCUGAGGGGGGUGGGGAUGCUGGAUUUUGGCCUCCUCCUCACCCUUCUCCGUUCCAAUCCUGUCUGAACCUCCGAGAAUUGCCGUUCUCCGGACGCGGGGAGUGCUGUUCACGGCAUUAGUGCUUUGAUCUGUGAACUUUGGCAGACGGAACCUACCUUUUCUCUCUUGCCUUUACCCCGAAAUCUCGUGUCAACUGUGGGUCAUAGUGAUACCGCUGCGGUUGUUUAGAGUUCUUAGACUUAUCCACCCCUAUACCAGCCGUUAGCUUUGGGUAAUCUGCUGUACUCUCCAAUGAGAAGUCCUAUAUUUGAACCCUAAAAAUUAAUAUAAAGUCUAAUUUAGAGUGUUUAGGUCUAAAAACAUUUGGAACUCCAAUAUUUAAGUUCUAUAUCAAGUCAUUGGAAAAUAAUUCAUAUUUGUGUGGUACCUAUGAACAUGCACUCGAAGUGAAGAUUAUAAAACUUCUGCCCGAGCAAAGCGGCCGACCAAGUUACCACAGAGCAAGUCAGCGAGGCGAAAUAGGCGACCAAGUCCCAACCGAGUAAGAAAGGGAGACGAAACUGCCGACCAAGUCUCUAGGCCCACAAGGUAGAAACCUGAACC